UCAAUAGGGUAAGCACCAUGCUGCCAGUUC
rnacentral:piRNA from 1 species